CAAAUACUCCUUCCGUCCGAAAAUACUUGUCGAAGAAAUGGAUGUAUCUAGACAUAUUUCAGUUUUAAAUACAUCCAUUUUGAUCCAUUUCUCCGACAAGUAUUUCCGGACGGAGGGAGUAGAUC
rnacentral:pre_miRNA from 1 species